rnacentral:rRNA from 1 species
ACGCUCGACACCUACUGGAGGCAGCAGUGGGGAAUAUUGCACAAUGGGGGAAACCCUGAUGCAGCGACGCCGCGUGAGUGAAGAAGUAUUUCGGUAUGUAAAGCUCUAUCAGCAGGGAAGAAGAUGACGGUACCUGAGUAAGAAGCCCCGGCUAACUACGUGCCAGCAGCCGCGGUAAUCUGAGCGGGCUGGCAAGGC